rnacentral:tRNA from 1 species
AUUGAGUUAGUUUAAUUGUUAAAACAUCAGUCUCCAAAACUGAAAGAUUUUGGUUAGAAUCCAAAACUCAAUGCCA